CAGUAGCCGCGGUAAGACAGAGGAUGCAAGCGUUAUCCGGAAUGAUUGGGCGUAAAGCGUCUGUAGGUGGCUUUUCAAGUCCGCCGUCAAAUCCCAGGGCUCGACCCUGGACAGGCGGUGGAAACUACCAAGCUAGAGUACGGUAGGGGCAGAGGGAAUUUCCGGUGGAGCGGUGAAAUGCGUUGAGAUCGAAAAGAACACCAACGACGAAAGCACUCUGCUGGGUCGACACUGACACUGAGAGACGAAAGCUAGGGGAGCAAAUGGGAUUAGAUACCCCAGUAGUCCCUGUCUCUUAUAC
rnacentral:rRNA from 1 species